AUGGGGAGCGGGAGCGCAUCGCCCCACCUCGAGCCGUCCCUGAGCCUUCCGAGCUCUCCCAGGAGGACAACGGGGGCCUCGCUGCAAACUGAUUUCCAGGCUGUGACCCGCCCCCCCCCACCCCCCCCCGGGCCAGAGGCUCCCCCGGAGAGUGCGGUCAGAACAAUUAUUCCUAUAAACACAAACGUGCGUGUGCGAGGAGCUGCUGGGUAACAGCACGGCCCCGCGAUUUUAACGUCGAAGGGAGCACCGGGUUUCCAUCCCGUGUACCGAGAGGGUCAGCGGAGACCGUUCCCAUCCUUGAGCAACUUUCGUCUCAGGGUGGGGUGAGCCCGGCAGCGGCACCUCGGGAAACUGCGCGGUUACGGAGCUGCGAUGGACGGAUCCCGCUUUAGAGCCUCUCUGGCUUUGCGCGUUACUGCUCAAACGUAUCGCAAAACCAGAAACGCUUUGUGACACCCAAAACAAUAAAAGAAGGUGCAGAGCGAAGCCUUCGCAAUAAAGGGACGGGUAAC
rnacentral:lncRNA from 7 species